rnacentral:rRNA from 1 species
GACUACUAGGGUAUCUAAGCCCGUUCGCUCCCCUAGCUUUCGCCUCUCAGCGUCAGGUACAGGCCAGAAAGCCGCUUUCGCCACUGGUGUUCUUCCUAAUAUCUGAGCAUUCCACCGCUACAUUAGGAGUUCCGCUUUCCUCUCCUGCCCUCUAGUCAAACAGUUUUGUACGACCCCACCCAGUUGAGCCGGGUUUUGUCACGCACAACUUGUCCAACCGCCUACUUGCCCUUUACGCCCAAUAAAUCCGGAUAACGCUCGCCUCCUACGUCUUACCGCGGCUGCUGGCACGUAGUUAGCCGAAGCUUAUUCCUGGGGUACUGUCCUUACUCAUCCCCCAGAAAAGGGUUUUACGACCCGAAGGCCUUCAUCACCCACGCGGCGUUGCUGCAUCAGGGUUUCCCCCAUUGUGCAAUAUUCCUUACUGCAGCCCCCCGUAGG